UGACGACUGGCGCACGGGUGCGUAACACGUAUGCAACCUACCUAUAACUGGAGCAUAGCCCCUCGAAAGAGGGAUUAAUACUCCAUAACAUAAUGAAAAGGCAUCUUUUUAUUAUUAAACCUCCGGGGGUUAAAGAUGGGCAUGCGUUGCAUUAGCUAGUUGGUGAGGUAAUGGCUCACCAAGGCUACGAUGCAUAGGGGUUCUGAGAGGAUAUACCCCCACACUGGUACUGAGACACGGACCAGACUCC
rnacentral:rRNA from 1 species